GGACUACUGGGGUUUCUAAUCCCAUUUGCUCCCCCGGCUUUCGUUCCUCAGCGUCAAUUAUGGCCCAGUAAGGCGCUUUCGCCACCGAUGUUCCUCCUGAUAUCUACGCAUUUCACCGCUACACCAGGAAUUCCCCUUACCUCUACCACAUUCUAGCUUGCCAGUAUCCAGUGCCGAACCGGAGUUGAGCCCCGGGCUUUAACACCAGACUUGACAUGCCGCCUACGAACGCUUUACGCCCAAUGAUUCCGGACAACGCUUGCACCCCCCGUAUUACCGCGGCUGCUGGCAC
rnacentral:rRNA from 1 species